CAGAAGCAGAAAGAAGCAAUGGAAGACGCACUUAUAGUGGCGGUGUGUGUUCAAUCUGUCCUGUACGACACCACGUUGGUGUCGUAAAGGGACAAAAUUAAAAAGGAGCAGGCGUGGGUCGUCGUAGGCCAGGAGACGGGGAUUCCUGUGGACGUAUGUCGCAGGAAAUGGAAGUCCCUCUGGGACAGAUACAUGAGGGAGAAAAGGAGGGAGAAAGAGGAGGGAAAAAGGAGCGGGUCAGCGGCAAGGACAGGGAAGAAAUGGAAGUUCUUUGCGGUCCUGUCCUUCCUCGACCCCUUUGUCACACCGAGGGAGACCAGCAGCAACCUUCCUCGGUGUGCAGAGAUGGAGGUAGAGAUAGAGGAUGACGGGGCUGCAGAGACUUCAGGGGUAGGAGAAGCAGACGAGGAGCGUGAUGAGGCAGCAGCAGCAGCAGGGCCAUCGCACAAUACAGAUGUCGUCCUGCCACGAGACGGUUCCUUCUUCAGAGAAGUAGGAGGUGAAGGUCUCGCGGAUCCGAA
ensembl:lncRNA